UGGUUCUGGCAUCGAUGAAGAACGCAGCGAAAUGCGAUACGUAAUGUGAAUUGCAGAAUUCAGUGAAUCAUCGAAUCUUUGAACGCAUAUUGCGCCUAUUAGUAUUCUAGUAGGCAUGCCUGUUCGAGCGUCAUUUCAACCCUCAGGUAACCUGUUACUUGGUGUUGGGAACCUAAGCGCCUGGCGUUUAGGUCCUGAAGAUUAUCGGCGAGCUACUCUAGGCUCCGAGCGCAGUAAAACUUCUCGCUUAGGACGUCUUGUGUAUACUGGCCUAUAACCCUAUAUUUUGAGAAAUUUGACCUCGGAUCAGGUAGGAAUACCCGCUGA
rnacentral:misc_RNA from 1 species